GCAACUGUGGCUUAGAGGGUAAAGCGUCUGCCUGCAAUGCAGGAGACCCGGCUUCGAUCCCCUGGGUUGGG
rnacentral:tRNA from 1 species